rnacentral:misc_RNA from 1 species
UACGUAGGGUGCAAGCGUUAAUCGGAAUUACUGGGCGUAAAGGGUGCGCAGGCGGUUCGGAAAGAAGGAUGUGAAAUCCCAGGGCUCAACCUUGGAAUGGCAUUCUUAACUACCGGGCUAGAGUGUGUCAGAGGGGGGUGGAAUUCCGCGUGUAGCAGUGAAAUGCGUAGAGAUGCGGAGGAACACCGAUGGCGAAGGCAGCCCCCUGGGAUAACACUGACGCUCAGGCACGAAAGCGUGGGUAGCAAACAGG